AUGGGAUGGAAUGAGGAACACAGGCGGCUGCAGCACCAGGAGGAACCUUUAGGGCUCUUGUUGUUUCUUUGGGCAUCCCGUGUGAGUGAUGGGGGUCGUUGUGGAGGAGGGUCCCCCCCCGCUGUGGGGCUCACGGGGUCAGCUCUGAAAUGCAGGGCUGCUCUCAUAGCACUGCGAUGGGACACAGAGUGCUGUCGUUGGUGCUUUUCCCUUGAGAAAGCUUCAUGGAGGGAGCCCUGUUCUGCUGGGAAAGCAGCACAUGGUGAGAAGGGUCGGCUCGUUAUCCAAUAGAGCCCACAUUGCUUUGGUUCCAGGAUGAAGGCUCAGCCUGUUCCGUGGAACCAAACCCCCAGUAACUGAUAACAAUCAAGAAUUGAUAACCAUCAGCAGGUAUCCUUUAUUAUAUUACAAAAGAGAACAGUGUUAACACCCAAACCAGUUCUCUACCUCUGCUUCUGCAUGCGUAUUUAUAUUUUCAAAGGCAUUACAUAUUUAUUAGAAUUCCACAAACCCUGAUACAUGGUCGUACCGUUUCCCAAAAUGUCCAUAUCUUUCCAGGAUCUCCGUCUCCACCCAUUUUCUUCCCUUAUAUGGUUUGUUUCUUCCAGCUGUACUGCAUUUUGAGGUCAUGCAUCUUCUGUUCAGUGGCCCCUCAGGCAGCUUUGGCUCACAGAAAUGCAGUGUUCUCACUCAAUACUGGCUUGUCUCAUUCCUGCUUUGGAUCUCCACGCUUGCUUUUAGUUAUCACAGUUUUGGUAUCCUGUGCAAUCACAGGGAGAGGAGAGGAAAACAGAGGAGACUACAAAGUUUAACACCUGUGGUUAUUGCCAGGUGCAUUUAAUAUCUCAGUCCAAUUCUUCAGAUUGUUUUUCUAGGUCAAAUGUUCCAUGCAGUCCCAUGUAUGCUCACACCUCUACAGUUUGGAUACUGAGGAUGCUUUAAAUGUGAUCUCUCUACAAAGGAAAAGCAGAAACAGUGCAUGAUGAGAGGAACGGCUCAUCCUACAUCUUCCACUGGAAGAUCCCAACAUUUUCAAUAUGGGAGGAGAAACUCACCCAUUGCUUUGUGGCGUUUCUCUGGGUUAGUAGGAGUAGAGAAGGACGUGUGAAGGGAUUUUUCAUGCCGUCCAUAGUCCUUUGGGAUGACCUCAGAUUCCCUUGGAUUUAACGACUGUGGCUUACUCCACUGGGAAUUGCCUUUCUCUACCAAAAAAAAAAGAUGAGACAGUUUCUCAUCCCAUGGGAAAUACCAGCUUCCUUUGGUUCGGGGAAGAAGACUCACCCACUGCUUCUGUUUGUUGCUCUGGAAAGGAGUGAAGAAAGCAAUCCGUGAUGAGAGGAACAUCUCAUCCCACAGCUCACACAGGCAGAGCCCAUUUUUAAUUUAAUUUGGGAAGGAGCACUCACCCAAUUUUCCAGCUAGUUUUUCUGCAAAAGAAACAAAUACAAAAUGCAUAUUGAGAAGGAUCAGAUUAUCAUCCCAUGGCUGAACCUAUGGGAAGACCCCAAAUCUCUUUGGUUUAAGGAGGGAGACUCACCCAACUUUGCAUCGCUUCUCUCUGCAAAGGAAAAGCAGAAAUAAUGCAUUAUGAAGGAACACCUCAUUGCACAGCUCCCAAAACAAUUAAAAAAAAAAGUAAUGGGAAGAGAAACUAGUUUAGCUGGAAAAGAAAGAUCAGAGCAGUGCAUGGUCAGAGGGGACAGCGGCUCAUCCCAGGGCUGAUGCCAUGGGGAGACCUGAAUUCCUCACUUUGGGGAAGGAGACUUACCCAACUCUGCAUAUUUUCUUUCUGGAAAAUAGAAGGAAAAGAAAUGCGUGGUCAGAGGACCUUCUCAUCCCAUGGCUGCUCCCAUGCCAAUACCCCAAAUCUUUGUUCUGGGAAGUGGCAAAUUAUCACUUUGGUCUCAAGAAGGAAUUAAGCCAAUAUAAAGGAAACUGAUGCAAGAGUUUUGCAUGUGAAUCGAUCAGGAUAGACACAUCUCAAGGUCCCAAUACAUCCCAAAACACCAACACAUCACAUAAACCCGGUCUGCAGUCUUCUAUUGGUUCUGUUAAGGAGAUUUUGAUGGUGGAAGGGGCUGGAAGGACUCACUCAGCUCUCUUAUCCGUGCCGCUGGAAAACAGAGCGGACGAAGAAGUGGUCACCAGGGCAGCUUGGUCUCUUGGAACAUCUUGAGAUUCUAGACCUUUCCACCUGCCCCACAAUCCAGCCACUUUCCUAUCUUCCCACUCACACC
ensembl:lncRNA